rnacentral:rRNA from 1 species
UACGCAGGCGGAAAAUUAAGUCAGUGGUGAAAUCCUGCAGCUUAACUGUAGAACUGUCAUUGAUACUGGUUUUCUUGAAUAUAGUUGAGGUAGGCGGAAUGUGUAAUGUAGCGGUGAAAUGCUUAGAUAUUACACAGAACACCGAUUGCGAAGGCAGCUUACUAAGCUAUGAUUGACGCUGAGGUACGAAAGCGUGGGGAGCGAACAGGAUUAGAUACCCGAGUAGUCC